UUUUCCUUACGAACUCUAUUUCCCAGAGGUCAUCGCGGGACGGCGACCUAGGGUGCCCGAUAUGGGCCAAUAGCCCUAAGGCUGGAGAAAGCCGUCUUCCUGGGAACCCCCAGAAGGCUGCCGCCGCGUCUUUAACGCCUCUGUCACCGCCGGUCCUGUGGAGCGCGCUUUUCGGGAAAAGUCCCAAUCAAGAUAGUGGAGAGAGACCCGCAGCCCUCCUCUCCAUUUGCCAGCUUUGGAUAUUUCUUCCUUCUCCACACAUCUAGCCUGUGUCCUGAGCCCCAGCAUCAGCUUCUGUUCUGGGUUGGAAUGUGGACCCAGGGCACUGGCUGCACGAGUAGGGAGGAGAGCAGGACUUGCACCAAGUUGCCUCAUUCCCCAAAGUGUGAAUACUCACUCACCAGCGCUGCCCACACCUUCUGGCCCACCAGGCCAUCAGUGUUUGGAGUCUUGGACCUAAUACAUGAGAAGGUAAUGCCAGCUCAGCUUGGAGUGCUUCGGGGAGAAUAAGACAUCCACCAAAAGGAGGGCUUUUCUGCCAGGACCUAACACACCAGUGCUCUGGACCACAGACCUCUGUUCAGAGAGACACUGGCCAAGGAUGGAAUCACCACUUCAGCUGUUGGCAGCUUACCUUCCAGACUGUCAAGUAUGCUUUUUGCUGUCUGCAUCUCUUGGAGUAGUGUUAUUGUCUACUUACCCAUCAGUAUCAACAAGGAGACUUAGAACCAAAAUUAGA